CUCACAUAUAUGUAGACUUAUUUUCUUCCCUGUAGAACAAUAGCUUUUGUUAGCUAAAGAGGUUAGACUCACAUGAGUUACCUUUUGGCCAUAUUUUAAUGACUUAUAUUAUGCUGUGCUGUUCUCUUAGAUAUGCUUGCUGCUCCGGUAUCAAGUGAAGAUCUUGGUUCAAUAUGCUUGUCCAGCGCCUGAAGUAUUUGGAUGAACAGUAUGUCAAUGUCAACCUACAUGAUGAUGACUUUUUCUACGCCGAGCAUUGUGAUCAAGAUUUCAAAGAAAUAAAUCCCUGUUGUGGUGUGUGCAUUAUGAUUAUCCUUAUACAGUGGGCACAACUACUUGCUGUCCGGAUAAGCUUACUCCUUAAUACUACUCUACAUUUAGGAAUGCAGUGAGUAUGUGGUGUUUUCUUUUUCUGAUGUGCAGAGUGGUGCAGUUGGAUAGUUGUUCAAGAUAAUUUUGCCUGAAGUUUUGAUAUAUUUUUAUAUUUUGAUAUAAUGUGAUCUGCCCAAAAAAUAGACAAAUAUGAAAAUUAUAUGGUCAUUGGAUGAUCUGGUUAAUUGUCAUUCAAAGACAUGAGAUCAAAAGAAUGUUUCCUUGAUGUCCACUUUUAAUGAGCUAAUAAUAAUUA